rnacentral:rRNA from 1 species
UACGGAGGGAGCAAGCGUUACUCGGAAUUAUUGGGCGUAAGGGCGCGUAGGCGAUCUGACAAGUCUGGUGUGAAAGCCCACAUGUUAACUGUGGAAGUGCAUUCGAAACUGCAGGGCUAGAGUCCUGGAGAGGAAGGUGGAAUGCUUGGUGUAGAGGUGAAAUUCGUAGAUAUCAAGCGGAACACCGGUGGCGAAGGCGGCCUUCUGGACAGUGACUGACGCUGAGACGCGAAAGCGUGGGGAGCAAACAGG